rnacentral:rRNA from 1 species
GCUAAUACCGCAUAUUCUGUGCGCAGGAAAGCAGGGGAUCGCAAGACCUUGCGCUGAUUGAGCGGCCGAUAUCAGAUUAGCUAGUUGGUGAGGUAAAAGCUCACCAAGGCGACGAUCUGUAGCGGGUCUGAGAGGAUGAUCCGCCACACUGGAACUGAGACACGGUCCAGACUCCUACGGGAGGCAGCAGUGGGGAAUUUUGGACAAUGGGGGCAACCCUGAUCCAGCCAUGCCGCGUGAGUGAAGAAGGCCUUCGGGUUGUAAAGCUCUUUCAGCCGGGAAGAAAAUGCAUGGGUUAAUACCCUGUGCAGAUGACGGUACCGGAAUAAGAAGCACCGGCUAACUACGUGCCAGCAGCCGCGGUAAUGCGUAGGGUGCGAGCGUUAAUCGGAAUUACUGGGCGUAAAGCGUGCGCAGGCGGUUUUGUAAGACAGGCGUGAAAUCCCCGGGCUUAACCUGGGAACUGCGUUUGUGACUGCAAGGCUAGAGUACGGCAGAGGGGGGUGGAAUUCCACGUGUAGCAGUGAAAUGCGUAGAGAUGUGGAGGAACACCAAUGGCGAAGGCAGCCCCCUGGGUCGAUACUGACGCUCAUGCACGAAAGCGUGGGUAGCAAACAGGAUUAGAUACCCUGGUAGUCCACGCCCUAAACGAUGUCAACUAGGUGUUGGGAGGGUAAAACCUUUUAGUACCGUAGCUAACGCGAGAAGUUGACCGCCUGGGGAGUACGGCCGCAAGGUUAAAACUCAAAGGAAUUGACGGGGACCCGCACAAGCGGUGGAUGAUGUGGAUUAAUUCGAUGCAACGCGAAAAACCUUACCUACCCUUGACAUGUCAGGAACUUUCCAGAGAUGGAUUGGUGCCCGAAAGGGAACCUGAACACAGGUGCUGCAUGGCUGUCGUCAGCUCGUGUCGUGAGAUGUUGGGUUAAGUCCCGCAACGAGCGCAACCCUUGUCGUUAAUUGCCAUCAUUUAGUUGGGCACUUUAACGAGACUGCCGGUGACAAACCGGAGGAAGGUGGGGAUGACGUCAAGUCCUCAUGGCCCUUAUGGGUAGGGCUUCACACGUCAUACAAUGGUCGGUACAAAGGGUCGCCAACCCGCGAGGGGGAGCCAAUCCCAUAAAGCCGAUCGUAGUCCGGGUUGUAGGCUGCAACUCGCCUGCAUGAAGUCGGAAUCGCUAGUAAUCGUGGAUCAGCAUGUCACGGUGAAUACGUUCCCGGGUCUUGUACACACCGCCCGUCACACCAUGGGAGCGGGUUCCGCCAGAAGUAGGUAGCCUAACCGCAAGGGGGGCGCUUACCACGGCGGGGUUCGUGACUGGGGUGAAGUCGAAACAAGGUA